AGAGAGAGACAUGCGCGCAUAUCAAUAAGCGGAGGAAAAGGAACUAACUAGGAUUCCCUCAGUAACGGCGAGUGAAGCGGGAAGAGCUCAAAUUUGAAAUCUUCAAGGUUCUACCUUGACGAAUUGUAGUUUAAAGAAGUGUUUUCUGUUGGAGUUUUGGUAAAAGUUCUUUGGAAUAGGACAUCAUAGAGGGUGAGAAUCCCGUAUUUGACCAUUAUUUCCAGCUUUGUGAUACACUUUCAAAGAGUCGGAUUGUUUGGGAAUGCAGUCCAAAAUGGGUGGUAAAUUUCAUCUGAAGCUAAAUAUUGGCGAGAGACCGAUAGCGAACAAGUACCGUGAGGGAAAGAUGAAAAGAACUUUGAAGAGAGAGUUAAACAGUACGUGAAAUUGUCAAAAGGGAAGCGUUUGACACCAGUGUUGUUUUUCCGAAAAUCAAUUAAGAAUGUUUUAUUUUUGAGGAGUUAUGACUUCAUCGGCUUGCUCCUUUCUUUAUGGAACUUUCUUAAUGCACUUUUCGGUUAACAAGUCAACAUCAAUUUCUUUUGUUGUAAAAGAGUAUGAGGAAGGUGGCUUUCUUUUCGGAGAAAGUGUUUAUAGCCUUGUACUUCUGCAAUCGGAGAGAUUGAGGUCUGCAGCGUAGAUCCUUCGGGGUUAGAUACACUUGUGCUAAGCUAUAGCUUUUCAUAGACAACUUGUUGAUUAUGAUUAGUCUUGUAGCUUACUCGCUUGUGCUAUUUUACCUACGCUUAGGAUGUUGACAGCAGUAUAGACUGU
rnacentral:rRNA from 1 species